rnacentral:rRNA from 1 species
AUAUUAGUUAGUUGGUAGGGUAAUGGCCUACCAAGACGAUGAUGUGUAGCUGGACUGAGAGGUUGAACAAGCCACAUUGGGACUGAGGACACGGCACCAAACUCCUACGGGAGGCAGCAGUAGGGAAUUUUCGGCAAUGGAGGAAACUCUGACCGAGCAACGCCGCGUGAAUGACGAAGUACUUCGGUAUGUAAAGUUCUUUUAUCAAGGAAGAAAAGCAAAUGGCGAACCAUUUGUUUGCCGGUACUUGAUGAAUAAGCCCCGGCUAAUUAUGUGCCAGCAGCCGCGGUAAGACAUAAGGGGCAAGUGUUAUCCGGAAUUAUUGGGCGUAAAGGGUGCGUAGGCGGUCUAGUAAGUCAGUGGUGUAAUGGCAACGCUUAACGUUGUCCGGCUAUUGAAACUGCUAAACUUGAGUUAGAUAGAGGCGAGUGGAAUUCCAUGUGUAGCGGUAAAAUGCGUAAAUAUAUGGAGGAACACCAGAGGCGUAGGCGGCUCGCUGGGUCUUAACUGACGCUGAGGCACGAAAGCGUGGGGAGCAAACAGGAUUAGAUACCCUGGUAGUCCACGCCGUAAACGAUGAGUACUAAGUGUCGGGUUAAACCGGUACUGAAGUUAACACAUUAAGUACUCCGCCUGAGUAGUACGUACGCAAGUAUGAAACUUAAAGGAAUUGACGGGACUCCGCACAAGCGGUGGAUCAUGUUGUUUAAUUCGAAGAUACCCGAAAAACCUUACCAGGUCUUGACAUGUUUUUGCAAAAUGAUAGUAAUAUCGUGGAGGUUACCAGAAACACAGGUGGUGCAUGGUUGUCGUCAGCUCGUGUCGUGAGAUGUUAGGUUAAGUCCUAAAACGAGCGAAACCCUUAUCGUUAGUUGCCAGCACGUUAUGGUGGGGACUUUAACGAGACUGCCAAUGAUAAAUUGGAGGAAGGUGAGGAUCACGUCAAAUCAGCAUGCCCCUUAUGACCUGGGCUACAAACGUGAUACAAUGGCUGUUACAAAGGGUAGCUGAAACGCAAGUUCUUGGCCAAUCCCCAAAAACAGUCCCAGUCCGGAUUGAAGUCUGCAACUCGACUUCUUGAAGUUGGA